GUAAAGUGGAGACACCGGAGAUCCGGAAGUGGCGCUUGGGGAAGAGAGUGGCCGCUGGUGGUGGAGGAACAUGGACAAUCAGAGCAUUCCCAUCUAUCUCCUGCCAAAGGCUUUUGGAGAUGGGCUACAGAUUGAGACUGCUUUGGAGCUGGAAUCAGUUAGCUGUACUUUUCUUUCUGUUGUCAGCCUACACCAGGAAAGACACCUGCUACACAGAGUUUAUCAUUUCUAAAAUGAUCUGAGAGCUUAGUACUUUUGCCAAAAACUGUUCAAGUAAGACAGUUCUACAAAGCAAACAGAAAAUUCCCCUGAUCCAGCAUCUUCAGGAUGUAAUGCUGGGGCUCACUCCUUCGCUAUGAAUGUAUCCGGAAGGAAAAAGUUAGAAAUUUAGGAUAUCGAAUCAGUGACGUUCUGUCAAUAAAGCAAUCAGAAACCUA